rnacentral:rRNA from 1 species
CGCUGGCGGCGUGCUUAACACAUGCAAGUCGAACGGAAAGGCCCAGCUUGCUGGGUACUCGAGUGGCGAACGGGUGAGUAACACGUGGGUGAUCUGCCCCAAACUUCGGGAUAAGCCUGGGAAACUGGGUCUAAUACCGGAUAUGACCUGCUCCUGCAUGGGGGUUGGUGGAAAGCUUUUGCGGUUUGGGAUGGGCCCGCGGCCUAUCAGCUUGUUGGUGGGGUAAUGGCCUACCAAGGCGACGACGGGUAGCCGACCUGAGAGGGUGUUCGGCCACACUGGGACUGAGACACGGGCCCAGACUCCUACGGGAGGCAGCAGUGGGGAAUAUUGCACAAUGGGCGCAAGCCUGAUGCAGCGACGCCGCGUGAGGGAUGACGGCCUUCGGGUUGUAAACCUCUUUCGCCAGGGACGAAGCGCAAGUGACGGUACCUGGAGAAGAAGCACCGGCCAACUACGUG